rnacentral:rRNA from 1 species
AAGGUUAAGCAGUAAAUGUGGAGCCGUAGCGAAAGCGAGUCUGAAUAGGGCGUUUAGUAUUUGGUCGUAGACCCGAAACCAGGUGAUCUACCCUUGGUCAGGUUGAAGUUCAGGUAACACUGAAUGGAGGACCGAACCGACUUACGUUGAAAAGUGAGCGGAUGAACUGAGGGUAGCGGAGAAAUUCCAAUCGAACCUGGAGAUAGCUGGUUCUCUCCGAAAUAGCUUUAGGGCUAGCCUCAAGUGAUGAUUAUUGGAGGUAGAGCACUGUUUGGACGAGGGGCCCCUCUCGGGUUACCGAAUUCAGACAAACUCCGAAUGCCAAUUAAUUUAACUUGGGAGUCAGAACAUGGGUGAUAAGGUCCGUGUUCGAAAGGGAAACAGCCCAGACCACCAGCUAAGGUCCCAAAAUAUAUGUUAAGUGGAAAAGGAUGUGGCGUUGCCCAGACAACUAGGAUGUUGGCUUAGAAGCAGCCAUCAUUUAAAGAGUGCGUAAUAGCUCACUAGUCGAGUGACACUGCGCCGAAAAUGUACCGGGGCUAAACAUAUUACCGAAGCUGUGGAUUGUCCUUUGGACAAUGGUAGGAGAGCGUUCUAAGGGCGUUGAAGCAUGAUCGUAAGGACAUGUGGAGCGCUUAGAAGUGAGAAUGCCGGUGUGAGUAGCGAAAGACGGGUGAGAAUCCCGUCCACCGAUUGACUAAGGUUUCCAGAGGAAGGCUCGUCCGCUCUGGGUUAGUCGGGUCCUAAGCUGAGGCCGACAGGCGUAGGCGAUGGAUAACAGGUUGAUAUUCCUGUACCACCUAUAAUCGUUUUAAUCGA